rnacentral:rRNA from 1 species
GACGAACGCUGGCGGCGCGCUUAACACAUGCAAGUCGAGCGAGAACCGAGGCUUCGGCCUCGGGGACAGCGGCGAACGGGUAAGUAACACGUGGACAACCUGCCCUCGGCACCGGGAUAGCCCGGGGAAACCCGGAUUAAUACCGGAUGGCCCUUCCGGCUUCAGAGCCGGUCGGAAAAGGUAGCUUCGGCCUCCGGCCGAGGAGGGGUCCGCGGCGGAUUAGCUUGUUGGUGGGGUAACGGCCUACCAAGGCUCCGAUCCGUAGCUGGUCUGAGAGGACGAUCAGCCACACUGGGACUGAGACACGGCCCAGACUCCUACGGGAGGCAGCAGUGGGGAAUCUUGCGCAAUGGGCGAAAGCCUGACGCAGCGACGCCGCGUGAGGGAAGAAGGCCUUCGGGUUGUAAACCUCUUUCAGCAGGGACGAAGCUACUCGGGUGAACAGCCCAGAGGGUGACGGUACCUGUAGAAGAAGCCCCGGCUAACUACGUGCCAGCCGCCGCAGUAACAC